CUGACUGCAAAGGCUUAGAAUAACGAGUGCAGCGUUGGUGAGUAAGGGUUGUUAUGGACUGACUGCAAAUGACUGCUAAAAGGAUGGUGGAUGUCACGGCGAACGCCCUCUCUCAUCAGGAAAUAGGCGGAGCCAACUAUCGCCCACCUGCGCGCACCCGAGCAAAUCAAGGGGCGUGCGGCUCCAACUUAAGGGCAGGAGAGACUAGUUGUUGGAACCAGGAAAUCGCUAACGGGACGUGAGGAUUUGUUUCUCACGGAGGCAUUCCUGGAGCUGUGCAGGAUUUAAGACCAUUCAAAGACUGAAUAGAACAGCCGGUUUUUCACCUGUAAGCUGCUGUAAGCUGCUGUGAGCUACUGUAAGCUGCAAAUAUCUGGGCUGCCAAGAGAAAAAACUGAAUAAAAAAGAAAG